CCUACGGGAGGCUGCAGUGGGGAAUAUUGCGCAAUGGGCGAAAGCCUGACGCAGCGACGCCGCGUGAGGGAUGAAGGUCUUCGGAUCGUAAACCUCUGUCAGCAGGGAAGAACGGUCACUGUGCUAAUCAGCAGUGAAUUGACGGUACCUGCACAGGAAGCACCGGCUAACUCCGUGCCAGCAGCCGCGGUAAUACGGAGGGUGCGAGCGUUAAUCGUAAUUACUGGGCGUAAAGCGCUCGUAGGCGGUAUGUCAAGUCAAGGGUGAAAUCCCCGCGCUCAACGUGGGAACUGCCUUUGAAACUGGCAGACUGGAGUGUGUGAGAGGAUAGUGGAAUUACAGGUGUAGGAGUGAAAUCCGUAGAUAUCUGGAGGAACAGCAGUGGCGAAGGCGACUAUCUGGCACAUAACUGACGCUGAGGAGCGAAAGCGUGGGUAGCAAACAGGAUUAGAUACCCGAGUAGUC
rnacentral:rRNA from 1 species